AMGUGGGGAAUACCUUAGUAACGGCGAGUGAAGCGGUAAAAGCUCAAAUUUGAAAUCUGGUACUUUCAGUGCCCGAGUUGUAAUUUGUAGAAUUUGUCUUUGAUUAGGUCCUUGUCUAUGUUCCUUGGAACAGGACGUCAUAGAGGGUGAGAAUCCCGUUUGGCGAGGAUACCUUUUCUUUGUAAGACUUUUUCGAAGAGUCGAGUUGUUUGGGAAUGCAGCUCAAAGUGGGUGGUAAAUUCCAUCUAAAGCUAAAUAUUGGCGAGAGACCGAUAGCGAACAAGUACAGUGAUGGAAAGAUGAAAAGAACUUUGAAAAGAGAGUGAAAAAGUACGUGAAAUUGUUGAAAGGGAAGGGCAUUUGAUCAGACAUGGUGUUUUUUGCAUGCACUCGCCUCUCGUGGGCUUGGGCCUCUCAAAAAUUUCACUGGGCCAACAUCAAUUCUGGCAGCAGGAUAAAUCAUUAAGAAUGUAGCUACUUCGGUAGUGUUAUAGCUUUUUGGAAUACUGUUAGCCGGGAUUGAGGACUGCGCUUCGGCAAGGAUGUUGGCAUAAUGGUUAAAUGCCGCCCGUCUUGAACMACGGAAMACA
rnacentral:rRNA from 1 species